CGGGACGUAGCGCAGCCCGGUAGCGCACACGUCUGGGGGGCGUGUGGUCGCUGGUUCGAAUCCAGUCGUCCCGACUA
rnacentral:tRNA from 1 species